UCCCCCGCCUCCCUCCCUCUCUCUCUCUCUCUCUCUCUCUCUCUCUCUCUCGACUGACCCACAGCCGCAUCCCUCUCUCGCUGUACCUAUCUUGUCACCACCGCUCCCGCAAGUCCUCAACCACGUCCCCCUCUCUUGCAGUCCCCAUUCAGUGGCAAUGGAUCUGGCAAUAACACUGGAAGUGAACUUGUUCACAUGUUUCUUGUUGAAAGUCAACAGCCUCCUCCGGUGAGGAUGACAUGCGUUUGGAGAAUGUAUACUACUCUGGAAUGAAGGAUGUCAGUUUCUUUGAUUCUGAUUGGGAAUAAUACUACUUUGUCUCUACUUCUCUUCACAUCUGUAAAUUUACCUUUCUCAUGGGUUUUGUGAACUCUUUCAUUGUAUAAAUCAUUGACGUGUGAAAAUUA